GUGUCAGCAGCCGCGGUAAUACGGAGGUUGCAAGCGUUGUUCGGAAUAACUGGGCGUAAAGGGAGCGCAGGCGGUUCGGUAAGUCUGAAGUGAAAUCCCAGAGCUCAACUCUGGACCUGCUUCGGAUACUGCCGAGCUUGAGUACGUGAGAGGAGAGUGGAAUUCCAGGUGUAGCGGUGAAAUGCGUAGAUAUCUGGAGGAACACCAGUGGCGAAAGCGGCUCUCUGGCACGUUACUGACGCUGAGGCUCGAAAGCGUGGGGAGCAAACGGGAUUAGAAACCCGCGUAGUCC
rnacentral:rRNA from 1 species